UACCAGUGCUAUAACUACUAACAAAACCUGGUGGUAACUCUACGGAUUUACAACGCUGAAAUCAGGGGUUCGAAAGCCCUCGGUGGACACAGUAGACAGCCCACUGUGGCUUUGGUACAAAGAACACAGGCACAUACAGACUUCUAUACUCAAAGUUAGACGUCACGUGACAAAGUGCACAGUUUUAGCGUUUUGUUGAUCAGACAUUGACAUACUCUGUUGGUACUGUCUUCAGUUCAGAGAUGAAUUUCUCCCACCUGCAGUAUUGAGCCCUUAAUCUACACGAAUAUUGCUUCUGUAUGCAUGGCCAUAUACAGAAGCAAGUUUAUACCAUGGAUACAAACAAUGCAACUAACAACUAUAAUCAGGUGUUUCUAUAAUGGGUGUACUUUAUGUUACGAUCCUGACACAAUGAACGUUAUUCUAAGUAGACCAAUGUUGCCUGUUAGAAAAUGUACACUAGACAGGCAACAUAAACUAGAAGCUCAGAGAUAUAAGGAUGUUGCAAUCUGGGAACAUGGUAUUAAUCAUAUGAAAUCCACCAAGACAAAUUUAAUUAGUUUCCUUAAAGGCCACACAGCAGUUCCUCACCUGGAUAUAUGAGACAGUUUCUAUGGCAGUAGAGUCAACACUACUAGACUUUUGUAUGAUGUGAAGGAAUACGAAAAGAUCAAGUGCAUUGAUUUUAUAUCUCCAUAUCCAUGAACAAAUAGGUAUUGUAAAUAUCUGGUUGGUCAUUUCAAAUACAUCACAACAAAUUUUUCAAAUGUACCUAAUUAUUCUGGUUUCAUUAAGUGCAAAAUUGUAGCCCUGAAUAAAUUAUAUCAUCCAGUUUUUCCUCCGAGAAGUAACGGUAAAUUAAGUUUUCUUCUCUUUAACAUGUGUGGUAAUUUAAGAACAUUUCCCCAUGUAAUCACUCAG